rnacentral:lncRNA from 1 species
AAAGAGCACAGUGGGUAUGCAAUUAAAAGUAAAAAAGGUGUAGACAAUCUGACAAACCAGGCUGGAGUGCAGCUGUUCCACCAUGCUCCCACAUGUACAUCACAGUCAGUUUUGGGGGAAUGCAGCACAGCCCAGACUUCCAGGGUGGAUACAGAACUGGUGGAAAAGGAGACGAUUGUAUUGGGGCUCUGAAUGCUUAGCUCGUGUUGGAGCUUGUCCUUAAAGGAUGACUGUAACCUGUAUAGCACAGGCAGCUCCCUCUGUACACGUGUGCUGGAGGGCGGUUGGCACUCAGCGCUGUGCUCCUGCUGGGAGCAACACAGGACAAGGAGAGGCACUGCUGAGCUCAGCCUGUGCUGCUCGUGCUCCCUGCUCUCCUGUGGAAGACACAGCUAUACUUUUUCCAAAUAUUUGUGCCUUGGCCCUCAGUCCCACAUGUGCCCUUUGAUUAUUGUGAAAGCUGCAGUGUGCUCUCAGAACCAUCCCACAUACCAGCAGCCCCAUCUAUUUUGGGUAUGUUAAUCCACGGGUAAAGUCAAAUGUAUACAUGCAUCUACUGCACUCCGAAGGAUUGGUGCAAUUUGGGGUUAAUCUGCCAGGACUUCAAUGCCAAUCAGGAGAAAUUAGCACUGUCAGUUCAGUGUUGCUUCCAAGGAGCUGCACAGUUUCAUGAGGCAUUUAUGCGAAUCCCAAUGGAGAAAUACUGAGAUCCCUGUUUUGCAGUCGCAGGAGAGCAGGAAGACCGAAGAACUGAGGGAGUGGUGGGAUGACAAGGAGUGUGUUUUUUGGGUAGGGAUUAAAAGUGCUGCCAUACGAAACCAAGUGUUCACUUGAUCUGAAGUCUUUCUGCCAGUUCCAGUUUAUUUAAAACAUUCUGACGGAUUAACUCUGAGCAGCCAGGCUUCGUGCCAGAUCAGGCCCUGUCCAUCACUUCCAUCCCCACCGUACGCCGAGUCCCAGAGCAGAAGCAGGCUGUGCAUCGAGGUGUCAGGUUGACACG